rnacentral:rRNA from 1 species
GACGAACGCUGGCGGCGUGCUUAACACAUGCAAGUCGAACGAUCAAGCCUAGCUUUCUAGGUUGAUUAGUUGCGAACGGGUGGGUAAUACGUGAGUAACCUACCUUUAACUCUGGGAUAAGCCCCUGAAACUGGGUCUAAUACCUGAUACGACCAAUCUCCGCCUGGGUGGUUGGUUGAAAGAGGUAGGUAUUGGUUAUAGAUGGGCUCACGGCCGAUCAGCUUUUUGGUGAGGUAACGGCUCACGAAUACGAAGACGGGUAGACGGCCCGGGAGGGUGAGCGCCCACAAUGGGACUGAGACACGGACCAGAAUGCUACGGGCGGCAGCAGUGGGGAAUCUUGCACAAUGGGCGCACGCCUGAUGCAGCGGCGCCGCGUGCGGGAUGACGGCCUUCGGGUUGUAAACAUCUGUUAGCAGGGAAGAAGAGGGAUUGACGGUACCUGCAGAGAAAGCGCCGGCUAACUACGUG